CCUACGUGCGGCAGCAGUGGGGAAUAUUGGACAAUGGGGGCAACCCUGAUCCAGCGACGCCGCGUGAGUGAUGAAGUCUUUCGGUACGUAAAGCUCUAUUAGCAGGAAAGAAGAUGACGGUACCUGACUUACAAGCCCCGGCCCACCUGGGUCCAGCCGACCCGGUACUAUGUAGGGGGCAAGCGUUAUCCGGAUUUACUGGGUGUAACGGGAGCGUAGAGGGCAGCGCGAGUCUGGGGUGAAGUGCCGGGGCCAAACCCCGGAACUGCUCUGGAAACUGGGAGGCUGGAGUGCAGGAGGGGUAAGCGGAACUCCUGGUGUAGCGGUGAAAUGCGGAGAUAUCAGGAAGAACACCGACGGCGAAGGCAGGUUACUGGGCUGUAACUGACGUUGAGGCUCGAAGGCAUGGGGAGCGAACAGGAUUAGAUACCCUGGUAGUC
rnacentral:rRNA from 1 species